GACGAACGCUGGCGGCGUGCCUAAUACAUGCAAGUUGAGCGCUGAAGGUUGGUAUUUGUACCAACUGGAUGAGCAGCGGACGGGUGAGUAAUGCGUGGGGACUCUGUCUUUGAGCGGGGGACAACAUUUGGAAACGAAAGCUAAUACCGCAUAAAAACGUUAAACACAAGUUUUAAGUUUGAAAGAUGCAAUUGCAUCACCCAAAGCUGAUCCCGCGUUGUAUUAGCUAGUUGGUGAGGUAAAGGCUCACCAAGGCGAUGAUACAUAGCCGACCUGAGAGGGAGGUUGGCCACAUCGGGACUGGGACACGGCCCAAGCUUCUACGGGAGGCAGCAGUAGGGAAUCUUUGGCAAUGGAGGAAAGUCUGACCGAGCAACGCCGCGUGGGUGAAGGAGGUUUUCGGAUCGUAAAAGUCUGUUGGUAUAGAAGAACGGUGGUGAGGGUGGAAAGCUCAUCAAUUGACGGUAACUACCCAGAAAGCAACGGCUAACUACGUG
rnacentral:rRNA from 1 species